rnacentral:rRNA from 1 species
UGGGGAAUAUUGCACAAUGGGCGCAAGCCUGAUGCAGCCAUGCCGCGUGUGUGAAGAAGGCCUUCGGGUUGUAAAGCACUUUCAGCGGGGAGGAAGGCGAUAAGGUUAAUAACCUUGUCGAUUGACGUUACCCGCAGAAGAAGCACCGGCUAACUCCGUGCCAGCAGCCGCGGUAAUACGGAGGGUGCAAGCGUUAAUCGGAAUUACUGGGCGUAAAGCGCACGCAGGCGGUCUGUCAAGUCGGAUGUAAAAUCCCCGGGCUCAACCUGGAAACUGCAUUCGAAACUGGCAGGCUGGAGUCUUGUAGAGGGGGGUAGAAAUCCAGGUGUAGCGGUGAAAUGCGUAGAGAUCUGGAGGAAUACCAGUGGCGAAGGCGGCCCCCUGAACAAAGACUGACGCUCAGGUGCGAAAGCGUGGGGAGCAAACAGG